CCUGGGGCUUCCCGCCGAGUCGUGGGAAUGACUUCGGCGGAUCGCUAGUUAGCAUAGUUUAGGGUUAGAACUAGGGCGGUAUCUGAUCGCCUUCGAUCCUCUAACUUUCGUUCUUGAUUAAUGAAAACAUUCUCGGCAAAUGCUUUCGCAGUAGUUAGUCUUGCGACGGUCCAAGAAUUUCACCUCUAGCGUCGCAAUACUAAUGCCACCGUCUGUCCCUUUUAAUCAUUACCUCGGUUCAUUAAAACCGACAAAAAGAACAGAAUCGAGGUCCUGUUACUUCAUUCCAUGCACAGACAUUCCGGCCGUUUUUACAGCCCGCUUUAAGCACUCUAAUUUUUUCAAAGUGAACGUGUCGGCCACCCUGGAACACUCGGUAAAGAGCACUCCGAGCGAGCCGACAAAAUUUUAAUUGUACCAAACGCGGGCGAGCUAUACCCGAAGACCGAGAAACACCGUCCGCUAGAAAGUUUACCGCGAAACGACGACGGCUCCCCUAUAGAAAGCCGAAGCCAACUUAGUAGAAGUACUCGCCGCCGAAACACGACAUUAUCUAGUGACUGACGCGAAUCGCUAGUACAACGAGCGACUCACCCACGAAAUGGAUCUAGAAAGUCCAACUACGAGCUUUUUAACCGCAGCAACUUUAAUAUACGCUAUUGGAGCUGGAAUUACCGCGGCUGCUGGCACCAGACUUGCCCUCCAAUGGAUCCUCGUCCAAAGAUUUAGGAUGGACUCAUUCCGAUUGCGAGGCCUCGGAAGAGUCUCGCAUCGUUAUUUUUCGUCACUACCUCCCCGGGCUGGGAGUGGGUAAUUUGCGUGCCUGCUGCCUUCCUUAGAUGUGGUACCGUUUCUCAGGCUCCCUCUCCGGAAUCGAACCCUGAUUCCCCGUG
rnacentral:rRNA from 1 species